rnacentral:rRNA from 1 species
UACGUAGGGGGCUAGCGUUGUCCGGAAUCAUUGGGCGUAAAGCGCGUGUAGGCGGUUCGGUAAGUCCGCUGUGAAAGUCGGGGGCUCAACCCUCGAAUGCCGGUGGAUACUGUCGGGCUAGAGUGCGGAAGAGGCGAGUGGAAUUCCUGGUGUAGCGGUGAAAUGCGCAGAUAUCGGGAGGAACACCAAUUGCGAAGGCAGCUCGCUGGGACGUCACUGACGCUGAGA